ACGAACGCUGGCGGCGUGGAUAAGACAUGCAAGUCGAACGGGAGAAUUGCUAGCUUGCUAAUAAUUCUCUAGUGGCGCACGGGUGAGUAACACGUGAGUAACCUGCCUCUUAGUGGGGGAUAGCCCUGGGAAACCGGGAUUAAUACCGCAUACGAUUGAAAGAUCAAAGCAGCAAUGCGCUAGGAGAUGGGCUCGCGGCCUAUUAGUUAGUUGGUGAGGUAACGGCUCACCAAGGCGAUGACGGGUAGCCGGUCUGAGAGGAUGUCCGGCCACACUGGAACUGAGACACGGUCCAGACACCUACGGGUGGCAGCAGUCGAGAAUCAUUCACAAUGGGGGCAACCCUGAUGGUGCGACGCCGCGUGGGGGAAUGAAGGUCUUCGGAUUGUAAACCCCUGUCAUGUGGGAGCAAAUUAAAAAGAUAGUACCACAAGAGGAAGAGACGGCUAACUCUGUGCCAGCAGCCGCGGUAAUACAGAGGUCUCAAGCGUUGUUCGGAAUCACUGGGCGUAAAGCGUGCGUAGGCUGUUUCGUAAGUCGUGUGUGAAAGGCAGGGGCUCAACCCCUGGAUUGCACAUGAUACUGCGAGACUAGAGUAAUGGAGGGGGAACCGGAAUUCUCGGUGUAGCAGUGAAAUGCGUAGAUAUCGAGAGGAACACUCGUGGCGAAGGCGGGUUCCUGGACAUUAACUGACGCUGAGGCACGAAGGCCAGGGGAGCGAAAGGGAUUAGAUACCCCUGUAGUCCUGGCAGUAAACGGUGCACGCUUGGUGUGCGGGGAAUCGACCCCCUGCGUGCCGGAGCUAACGCGUUAAGCGUGCCGCCUGGGGAGUACGGUCGCAAGAUUAAAACUCAAAGAAAUUGACGGGGACCCGCACAAGCGGUGGAGUAUGUGGCUUAAUUCGAUGCAACGCGAAGAACCUUACCUGGGCUUGACAUGUAAUGAACAACAUGUGAAAGCAUGCGACUCUUCGGAGGCGUUACACAGGUGCUGCAUGGCCGUCGUCAGCUCGUGUCGUGAGAUGUUUGGUUAAGUCCAGCAAUGAGCGCAACCCCUGUUGCCAGUUACCAGCACGUCAAGGUGGGGACUCUGGCGAGACUGCCCAGAUCAACUGGGAGGAAGGUGGGGACGACGUCAGGUCAGUAUGGCCCUUAUGCCCAGGGCUGCACACGUACUACAAUGCCCAGUACAGAGGGGGCCGAAGCCGCGAGGCGGAGGAAAUCCUGAAAACUGGGCCCAGUUCGGACUGUAGGCUGCAACCCGCCUACGCGAAGCCGGAAUCGCUAGUAAUGGCGCAUCAGCUACGGCGCCGUGAAUACGUUCCCGGGUCUUGUACACACCGCCCGUCACAUCAUGGAAGCCGGUCGCACCCGAAGUAUCUGAAGCCAACCGCAAGGAGGCAGGGUCCUAAGGUGAGACUGGUAACUGGGAUG
rnacentral:rRNA from 1 species